rnacentral:tRNA from 1 species
GUCAGGCUCAUAACCUGAAGGCCGCAGGUUCAAAUCCUGCCCCCGCAA